rnacentral:rRNA from 1 species
UGCCAGCAGCCGCGGUAAUACGAAGGGGACUAGCGUAGUUCGGAAUUACUGGGCUUAAAGAGUUCGUAGGUGGCUGAAAAAGUUAGUGGUGAAAUCCCAGCGCUUAACUCGGGAACUGCCCUUAAAACUUUUCAGCUAGAGUAUGCUAGAGGAAAGCAGAAUUUCUAGUGUAGAGGUGAAAUUCGUAGAUAUUAGAAAGGAGACCAAUUGCGAAGGCAGCUUUCUGGAUCAUUACUGACGCUGAGGAACGGAAACAUGGGUAGCGGAGAGGAUUAGAUA